AAGAUGGAGGCUCUGUGUGAGAAGGAAUGCAGGGCAGCCUCUGGUUGCAGAGAGCAGCACCCGGUUUGACAGCUAGCAAUGCAAUUGUGACCUCAGACCUACAAUGUCAAGGAAUUGGCUUCUGCCAACAACCAGAAUGAGCAUGAAAGUGGAUUAGUCCUUGGAACUUCCAGAUAAGAGCCCAGCCAGCUAUACUUGGAUUUCAGCCUGUGAGAUUCUCAGCAGAGAACCCAGUCAAGUGUGUCCAGACGUCCAACCUACAGAACU
rnacentral:misc_RNA from 1 species